AAUGAACGCUGGCGGCAUGCCUAACACAUGCAAGUCGAACGAGACCUUCGGGUCUAGUGGCGCACGGGUGCGUAACGUGUGGGAACCUGCCCUUAGGUUCGGAAUAACUCCCCGAAAGGGGUGCUAAUACCGGAUAAUGUCUUCGGACCAAAGAUUUAUCGCCUUUGGAUGGGCCCGCGUUGGAUUAGCUAGUUGGUAGGGUAAAAGCCUACCAAAGCGACGCUCCAUAGCUGGUCUGAGAGGAUGAUCAGCCACACUGGGACUGAGACACGGCCCAGACUCCUACGGGAGGCAGCAGUGGGGAAUAUUGGACAAUGGGCGAAAGCCUGAUCCAGCAAUGCCGCGUGAGUGAUGAAGGCCUUAGGGUUGUAAAGCUCUUUUACCCGGGAUGAUAAUGACAGUACCGGGAGAAUAAGCUCCGGCUAACUCCGUG
rnacentral:rRNA from 1 species